UGGGGAAUUUUGGACAAUGGGGGAAACCCUGAUCCAGCCAUCCCGCGUGUGCGAUGUAGGCCUUCGGGUUGUAAAGCACUUUUGGCAGGAAAGAAACGUCAUGGGUUAAUACCCCGUGAAACUGACGGUACCUGCAGAAUAAGCACCGGCUAACUACGUGCCAGCAGCCGCGGUAAUACGUAGGGUGCAAGCGUUAAUCGGAAUUACUGGGCGUAAAGCGUGCGCAGGCGGUUCGGAAAGAAAGAUGUGAAAUCCCAGAGCUCAACUUUGGAACUGCAUUUUUAACUACCGGGCUAGAGUGUGUCAGAGGGAGGUGGAAUUCCGCGUGUAGCAGUGAAAUGCGUAGAUAUGCGGAGGAACACCGAUGGCGAAGGCAGCCUCCUGGGAUAACACUGACGCUCAUGCACGAAAGCGUGGGGAGCAAACAGG
rnacentral:rRNA from 1 species